CCAGACUCCUACGGGAGGCAGCAGUAGGGAAUCUUCGGCAAUGGACGGAAGUCUGACCGAGCAACGCCGCGUGAGUGAAGAAGGUUUUCGGAUCGUAAAGCUCUGUUGUAAGAGAAGAACGAGUGUGAGAGUGGAAAGUUCACACUGUGACGGUAUCUUACCAGAAAGGGACGGCUAACUACGUGCCAGCAGCCGCGGUAAUACGUAGGUCCCGAGCGUUGUCCGGAUUUAUUGGGCGUAAAGCGAGCGCAGGCGGUUAGAUAAGUCUGAAGUUAAAGGCUGUGGCUUAACCAUAGUACGCUUUGGAAACUGUUUAACUUGAGUGCAAGAGGGGAGAGUGGAAUUCCAUGUGUAGCGGUGAAAUGCGUAGAUAUAUGGAGGAACACCGGUGGCGAAAGCGGCUCUCUGGCUUGUAACUGACGCUGAGGCUCGAAAGCGUGGGGAGCAAACAGGAUUAGAUACCCUGGUAGUCCACGCCGUAAACGAUGAGUGCUAGGUGUUAGACCCUUUCCGGGGUUUAGUGCCGCAGCUAACGCAUUAAGCACUCCGCCUGGGGAGUACGACCGCAAGGUUGAAACUCAAAGGAAUUGCGGGGGCCCGCACAAG
rnacentral:rRNA from 1 species